GAGGCUGCAGGGGCCGCCCGUCACCUUCACAUGUGUUCCUUAACAAUAUGUGCACAGUCUCUCAAGAGGGAGCUCCAGAUGGUGAAGGAGACUCUGCAGGCCAUGAUCCUGCAGCUCCAGCCGGCAAAGGAGGUGGGAGAGAGGGAGCCCGCUGCUUCCUGUGUGACAGCUGGCAUCCAGGAGUCACAGGCCUGAGGCGUGACAGGAUGGGGGAAGGAGGAACAGUGAUGCUCCUGUCUUCAUUCGGAUCCAGGGACACCGAACGAUCUCUGUCAUUUCCCGAAGUCACACUGGCAUUCCUGGGAGGCACCUGCUUCUUUGCUAAGCCUUCUGUGCUGUGUGGCGCUUCCGUCUUCCAUCAGAAGAUGCCCCUGCUUAAGCCAGCAAGUGACCAGGGUCCAGGGAAUGAAGCAAAAGCACAACAUGAAUUUUCUCAUUGUGUUUCUGACAGUUUUCUGCUGAGCAUUAAAAAAUACACUAUACGUAUUUUAAGACGUAUAAUUAGUUUGUUCCAGGAGUGUUUGGUUUUUCAAUAAUAGAGCAAAUGCCUAAAUUAUUUAUAAUCAUGUCUAAAAAAAUAUUAUGUACAAGUCACAUGGCACAUGGAAUUCUUGAGUCCUUGAAUUAAUUCCAGUGAAGCAAAAUUUGGGACGAGUCAAGACUGUCUCUAAUAAAUCCCUACUUUGACAAGCGUUGUUUUAACAAGCCCCACAAGACAUCUUAACAGUCACUAACCCGAGCGUUUUCUAUUACUCAGGUACCAUCAUGAAUAAUUCUGAUAGGUCAUUAUGCCUUGAAAAUUCUAGAAGCUAAUUACUGUCUGAGUGUGCCCCAAAUAAGGGGUCUCCAGUGCCUCCAGUGGGCAGUGUGCCCAUUUCCUUGUUGAGACCCUGACCCAGGCAGGUGAAUGAUGCUUUAACUACAAGCUCAGCUCAUCCGCAGUCUAUGCUGUUGUCAGAGGCAGCCAGGAAGCCUGCCCGAGGCCAGGGUGUUUCCUCUGACCCUCUGACCUUCUCAGGACAAGCCCCUCUUCAGUCACUGUGACCCUAGAAGACCCAGGACUGUACAUCUCAAACCCUAGGGCAGUGUCUGCAGGGCAACCUCAAAAGAGAUGAGAGCUUGAAUCUAAAAGCAGCAAAGCAAUAAGGACACAAAUCCAAGCUUUCGUGGAGACAAUCAAGACCACAAGCAAAGGUGCAGGUGGAGAAUGAUGGCUUUGGGUCUGAGUCCACUGUGGCCCGUGCGAGAGAACAGAUGAGAUAUUACAGGGUCCUCCGUGCUGAGAUGCCGGCAUCCAAAUGGCCACUCAUGCACUUCCUCCAGCCCGACUUAGCGGGGCGUCUUCCGAGUCAGUAACAGUCCUGGUUCCUUCCUACAUCCUGAAAUUUCAACAUCAUAAUGAUCUUCCUCAAAUCAAGUUAACGUGUAACGUUGGGAGCUUUUCUUCCUGGGCAGUAGGGCUGGUUUCCCCGCCCCAGGAGCAUGGAGAGGCUCACAUGGGGGCGCUGGGACUGUCCUAAGACCUUUCUAAUCAUUAUCGCCUUUAAUCCUCAUUUCAGUCUUACAGGGUGGGUGUUUGUAGUUGGUGAAAUUGAGCCUUAGGAGACUGCUAAUGUACCCCACAGCACGGAGGUGGAGGGCAGUGGACUGGCAGCGGCAUUUGGGGACAGGUAGAAUGCUUCUAACUGUGUUCUUCCUAGCGUACUUGUAAUGUCUUUUGGGGACUAUGAGCCAUGGAGCAUAUUUGCUCGCUUAAGAACACAUGUUGGGGGCAGGGGUGUAUAGCUCAGUGGUAGAGCACGUGCUUAGCAUGCACGAGGUCCUGGGUUCAAUCCCCAGUCCCUCCAUUAAAAAAAAAAAUAAAAAGAACACAUGUCCACCUUGGGAAUCCUGCCUUGAGAAUCAGAGAAUCUGAGCCUACCACCCAUCACCGUCCUCACCAAUCGUUCAUUCCCCAUCCACCUCAAACGCCAUGCCAGGAACAACCACUUACUGCCUGACAUCAUGCAGAUUUUCUUGAAAAUCCCCAUCCAAUUGGUAUUUUUCAGAAAGCAUUUCAGGAAGCAACAUUGUGCCCAUUGGUUAAUGCCUCCUUGUAUAAACGAUUUGAUACUCAUGUUUAAUAACCUCACCUUAUCUAAUCUUUGAAUUUUAUUAUAUAAUUUAUUACUUCAUGAAAUUUACUUUUCGUUAUGUGAAAUUAAAACUGUGAUCCAAGCCAUGGUUGGAUAUUUAACAUUUUUCUUUUGACUUCUAGGAUGUGGGUGAUAGAAACAUUUUUAUCACCUUGACUCAUCUCAUCUUUCUGUUCCAGGAUGAUUCAUUGUACAGUUACUUACAUCACACAAAAUUUUUCUAAUAAAGCAGUGCUAAAAAACUGUGUAUGUGUUUACUUUCAGAUCUCAACCAGUCAGAAAGCAGUGGAAUUUUCUAUUCCAGACCCUUUGAGGAAGUUGAAAAUAACAUUAUCACUAAGUGUUCAGAAAGACUCAUGUAUAACCAAUCCACUAUCUUCAUGUUUUCCAGUCUUUGUACAAAAACAGAUUUUCACCAAACUGUAGCCAGCCUUUUUUUUUAUUCUGUUUUUUAUGCUUAACAUUAUGGUAUUUUCCAUUUUUCUACAGAAUCGUUAUAAUCAUUGUAUCUGUUGCUGCAUAAUAUGCUAUCAAAU
ensembl:lncRNA